AGAGUUUGAUCCUGGCUCAGGCGGGGGCGUGCUAUACAUGCAGUCGAACGAACUCUGGUAUUGAUUGGUGCUUGCAUCAUGAUUUACAUUUGAGUGAGUGGCGAACUGGUGAGUAACACGUGGGAAACCUGCCCAGAAGCGGGGGAUAACACCUGGAAACAGAUGCUAAUACCGCAUAACAACUUGGACCGCAUGGUCCGAGUUUGAAAGAUGGCUUCGGCUAUCACUUUUGGAUGGUCCCGCGGCGUAUUAGCUAGAUGGUGGGGUAACGGCUCACCAUGGCAAUGAUACGUAGCCGACCUGAGAGGGUAAUCGGCCACAUUGGGACUGAGACACGGCCCAAACUCCUACGGGAGGCAGCAGUAGGGAAUCUUCCACAAUGGACGAAAGUCUGAUGGAGCAACGCCGCGUGAGUGAAGAAGGGUUUCGGCUCGUAAAACUCUGUUGUUAAAGAAGAACAUAUCUGAGAGUAACUGUUCAGGUAUUGACGGUAUUUAACCAGAAAGCCACGGCUAACUACGUGCCAGCAGCCGCGGUAAUACGUAGGUGGCAAGCGUUGUCCGGAUUUAUUGGGCGUAAAGCGAGCGCAGGCGGUUUUUUAAGUCUGAUGUGAAAGCCUUCGGCUCAACCGAAGAAGUGCAUCGGAAACUGGGAAACUUGAGUGCAGAAGAGGACAGUGGAACUCCAUGUGUAGCGGUGAAAUGCGUAGAUAUAUGGAAGAACACCAGUGGCGAAGGCGGCUGUCUGGUCUGUAACUGACGCUGAGGCUCGAAAGUAUGGGUAGCAAACAGGAUUAGAUACCCUGGUAGUCCAUACCGUAAACGAUGAAUGCUAAGUGUUGGAGGGUUUCCGCCCUUCAGUGCUGCAGCUAACGCAUUAAGCAUUCCGCCUGGGGAGUACGGCCGCAAGGCUGAAACUCAAAGGAAUUGACGGGGGCCCGCACAAGCGGUGGAGCAUGUGGUUUAAUUCGAAGCUAC
rnacentral:rRNA from 2 species